UGGGGGAUAUUGCACAAUGGGCGAAAGCCUGAUGCAGCGACGCCGCGUGGGGGAUGAAGGCCUUCGGGUUGUAAACUUCUUUUGCUCUGAACAAGGCAUGCCUUUGGGGUGUGUUGAGUGUAGGGGUUGAUUAGCGCCGGCUAACUACGUGCCAGCAGCCGCGGUAAUACGUAGGGCGCGAGCGUUGUCCGGAAUUAUUGGGCGUAAAGGGCUUGUAGGUGGCUGGUUGCGUCUGUCGUGAAAGCUCAUGGCUUAACUGUGGGUUUGCGGUGGGUACGGGCUGGCUUGAGUGCAGUAGGGGAGGCUGGAAUUCCUGGUGUAGCGGUGGAAUGCUCAGAUAUCAGGAGGAAUACCGGUGGCGAAGGCGGGUCUCUGGGCUGUUACUGACGCUGAGGAGCGAAAGCGUGGGGAGCGAACAGG
rnacentral:rRNA from 1 species